UCCUGUGUUCGACAGGCAGUUGAGCCAGGUACGUGCAACUGGCUCCGAGGGUUGCGCUCGUUGCGGGACUUAACCCAACAUCUCACGACACGAGCUGACGACAACCAUGCAGCACCGGGUAAGGCUCCCUUGCGGGUCGUCCCCGUUUCCGGGUUCUACCACCCCACCUUCAAACCUGGGUAAGGUUCUUCGCGUAGCAUCGAAUUAAACCACACGCUCCGCUGCUUGUGCGGGCCCCCGUCAAUUCCUUUGAGUUUUAACCUUGCGGUCGUAGUUCCCAGGCGGGAGACUUACGCGUUAGCUGAGGAACAGAAGGGGUCUAGUCCCCCUAUUCCGAGUCUCCAUCGUUUACGGCGUGGACUAC
rnacentral:misc_RNA from 1 species